rnacentral:rRNA from 1 species
GAGUUUGAUCAUGGCUCAGAUUGAACGCUGGCGGCACGCCUAACACAUGCAAGUCGAGCGGCAGCGCGAUUAGUAGCAAUACUAAUUGGCGGCGAGCGGCGGACGGGUGAGGAACACGUAGGAAUCUACCCUCAAGCGGGGGAUAACUAAGGGAAACUUUAGCUAAUACCGCAUAAUCUCGAGAGAGAAAAGCUGCAGCAAUGUGGCACUUGAGGAGGAGCCUGCGUCCGAUUAGCUAGUUGGUGGGGUAAGAGCUCACCAAGGCGAUGAUCGGUAACUGGUCUGAGAGGACGACCAGUCACACUGGGACUGAGACACGGCCCAGACUCCUACGGGAGGCAGCAGUGGGGAAUAUUGGACAAUGGGGGCAACCCUGAUCCAGCGAUGCCGCGUGAGUGAAGAAGGCCUU